UUAUUGCUUAUCAAACUUGGAGUUUCAGAUCGAUUUGGCGAGCAAGAGCGCCGCGACCCACCGCAUCUCCUCUGUAUUGAAUUUCUUUCUUCCAAACUCCUAUCUUUAGAUGGGCUCUUCGAUUAGUCAUCAAGCUCUUCCAUUUGUUCUCAAUUCUUUCUGUCGCCGAGAGAGGAACUGAGUUGAGAGGAAGUCUGAGUUUCCUCUCAACUCAGUUCCUCGCCCAACGCCCGCCUAAGCCGCCCAGGCGCCCACUGCUUCUUGGCUUCCAAACUGAUCUUAACACUUGAGAGGUGUCUCUCCCUAUUCAGCCGAGCUCAAAUCCCUCUCUCUCCUCUGUUUAGAUUAGUUUAAAAGAAAGCAGCCUCUCCCUCGUUUCAAAUGCAUUUAUAAUUCUGUGAUCCAAAGCAAUUGCUCUCUUGUUUUAGAAGUCAGAUUUUCAGAGCUGGGUGGUGGUUGUUGUUGUUGUUGAAAUUAUGGGAGUCCUUGCGUCAGCUGUAGUAGCUAUUGUAAAAAUUCCAUUUGAAUGGCUGUUUGGUGCCGCCAUAAGAUUCUACAAGAUGGCUAAGAAGUUUCCAACUCUCCGCAGAGAUCUCACUUCAAAUAUAAACUACUUGGAACAACGGAUCCCACUGAUAAGCCGCACCAGAAUCGUUUGGGUUUCUGAAAAUUUAACAAGAACAAUGGAGGAUGGCAAGGAGCUGGCCAGAAUGUGCGACGAGGGGAAUCUGAACUUCUUUGAAAAGGCUAAAUAUGCUAAAAAAAUUGUUAAAUGGGACGAAUCUCGUCAAAGAAUCUUGAAGUUAGUGCAAACUGAUGCAAAUCUUGUGGCUCAAAAUCAAAACCAAGACCUUGUUACAACUUGGUGUGCAGUUCCUGACCUUCCAAGCAAUACACUAAAACUGGAUGCACCUUUGGCGGGGAUGAAGAUGAAACUCCUUAGAGAUGACGCGCGGUCAAUGCUUGUGCUCACUGCUCCGCCAGGAUGUGGGAAAACCACUUUGGCAAAUAUGUUCUGUCAUGAUCCACAGUAGUCACAGAUAAAUUCAAGGACAAUAUCUUCUUUGCCACGGUUUCCAAUAAGCCCAGCCACCUUGUUGUCCAAGAAUUGUGUCAACAUGCCGGAUUCAGGGUACCUGCUUUAGAAAAUGAAGCAAUUGCAUUUAGCUGGCUGCCGCGAUUUUUGAGGGAAGCAGGGCAAAAUCCCUUACUGUUAAUCUUGGAUGAUGUUCCGUCUACAUCAGAAUCCCUUCUUGACAAGUUUGAUGAAAUCAAAAUUACAGAUUACAAGAUUUUGGUGACAUCAAGAUACCAUUUUCCGAAAUUCGGGCCUCCAUAUAAUUUACAAGCGUUGACAGAUAAAGAUGCACUGACUCUUUUUCGUCGUUCAGCAUUCCUGCCAAAUACGAGCUGUAACAUACCAGAUGAUCUUCAGAUUCAGAUAGUAAACUGCUGUAAGAGAUUUCCGCUUGCCAUUACAACCGUAGGGACGUCACUUUGCAAUCAGCCUAUACAGGAAUGGAGAACCAAACUCAAAAAAUUAUCUAAAGGUUCUUCUAUUCUUGAUUCAGAGAAUGAUUCAGAGAAAAAAUUGCUUGCACUCCUCGAAAGUUGCUUAGAUGACUUGAAUAGAGAAAUGGCUCCUGUCAAGGAUUGUUUCAUAGACCUUGCUUUAUUUCCCCAAGACCAAAGAAUUCCCGUUGCUUUCCUUCUUGAUAUGUGGGCAGAGUUAUAUGAGGGAUCAAAUGAUGACGAUUCAAUAGUGAACCUAUACCACCUCACCUUCCGCAAUUUGGCCAGUCUUGUAGUCACAAGGACUAAGGAUUUGGAUGGAUACUAUGGUGAACAUUUUGUUGUCCAACAUGAUGUGCUUAAAUUGCUAUCAAUCCGUGCGAGUCAUGAUGAAGACCCAACAGGACAUAGAUUGAUUGUAGACAUAAAUGGAGAUGAGCUUCCACCAUGGUGGACAGAGAAGAAAACAUGGAAGGCUCGCUUAGUAUCUGUCUUAACACCAUGGUGGACAGAGAAGAAGCAGAAAACAAAGAAGGCUCGCUUAGUAUCUGUCAUAACUGGUGAAUCUUCUUCAACAGAGUGGCACAACAUGGAUCUACCAAAAGGCGAGGUUCUAGUUUUGAAUUUUCAAGCAAAGAACUAUGCCUUACCCAAGUUCAUGAAGAAAAUGUGCAAGUUGAAGGUUCUAAUAGUCACAAAUGAUGGCUUCUCACCUGCUGAGCUAAGUGACUUUGAACUGCUGUGUUCUUUGUCAAAUCUAAAGAGACUAAGAUUAGAGCAUAUUUCAAUUCCUUUGAUACGCGAGAACAUCAUUCCAUCGAAGAGUCUAAAGAAGAUAUCUUUAUUCAUGUGUAACGUCAGUCAAGCAUUUGGAAACUCUUCCAUCCAAAUUUUUGAGACAUUCCCAUACCUAGAGGAGUUGCACAUCGACUAUUGUAACGAUUUGGUGAAAUUGCCUGCCAAGCUAUGCGAUCUUAUCGGCCUAAAAGUUCUCAGCAUCACCAACUCUCAUAAGCUAUCUGUCUUGCCUGAAGACAUCGGAAAGCUGGAGAAUUUAGAAGUGUUGAGGCUAAGGUCCUGCACAGGCUUGGAAAAGCUUCCAGGCUCGAUUGAGAAACUCAAUAACUUGUACUUUCUUGACAUAUCUAAUUGUUCCAGCAUUAAGACGUUGCCCGAAGGCAUUGAUAAGAUGAAUGGUUUAAGAAAAAUCAAUAUGGCACAAUGUUCAAGAUUGGAUGAGCUGCCUGAGUCAGUGUAUGAUCUUGGUCCGCAGUUAGAGAAAGUGAUAUGUGACGAGGACGCAAGAAUUUUUUGGGAACCUGUCUUAUCAAAUCCCAACAAAAUAACGGUGGCAUUCAACCUGAAUUGGCUCCACAGACUUCAGAUUUGAGAGCUAUCUUUCCACGAUAAGUAUUGGAGCAAAUGGCCUGUGUACUUUGUAUUCCAGUUUAUUUUUUCCUAUUUCUCAUUUGGUGUUUGUAUGAGAUAUUGCAUCAUUCCACUGGCUUGGAUUUCCCUCGUUUUCUUCUCUAUAUACUGAUUAAGAUUUGUUGAAUUUUUGAUU